rnacentral:tRNA from 1 species
UAGCCUAGUGGUUAAGGCUAUGGACCGCCAAUCUGGAAACGGCGGGUUCGAUUCCCGU